rnacentral:lncRNA from 1 species
GACGCUUCUUUAACGAUAUCUGAAAAUAUACAACAGAGAGCAGAAAAUAUUCUCAAGGGUGGGAUAGGGUGGGUUUUGUGUUCCUUCAGUUCAAAUCACGCAAUGAACAAAUCACGAAAAGCAUGCAAUUUUAUACCAAAUAAAAGCGGGAAAACCGCUUAUGAAAUUAUGUAGGUAAAUGAAAGACGCUCAAGUCCUUCAAAAUUAAAGAAAAGAUAACUCUAGUUUAGCAGACGAUAAUCUUAAUUUAUUAAAUUGAUUUAAUGCUUAAUGAUUAAAUCUUAUUAUUAAAUAUUCGAAAGAAACCAACAGAUAUAAAUUUAGGAAUUCGAUAUACCAGAUAAAAGAUAACCCAAAUCCAUUGAAAUCAC